rnacentral:lncRNA from 1 species
AAAACUGAAAGAAACGUAUCAAACCCAAACUGUAACCCUAAUCCUAACCCUAGCGAGAGCAGAAUCGAGCAGAGGUAUGGUUGGCGCCGACUAAGGUUCUGGAAGAUGGAGAGUUGCAGAGAGGAAAAUAGAGAGAAAAGGAAGGGACAAAAGGGAAAAACAUGGUGGAAAAGGAGUAAGAUUUGUAGAAGGACAGAGGCGAUCUCAUGGAGCUUUGCAAUGCUGUGUGGCCAUUCCUCACAGAUUCCUUAAGAGUUUUUACUUGGUUUG